rnacentral:lncRNA from 1 species
UGCCAGUCAGUCUCUGUCUCUCUUACUGCCUCUGCCUCUGCCAGUCAGUCUCUGUCUCUCUCACUGCCUCUGCCAGUCAGUCUCUGUCACUGUCUCUGCCAGACAGUCUCUCUCACUGCCUCUGCUUCUACCUCUGCCAGUCAGUCUCUUGUCACUGCCUCUGCCAGACAGUCUCUGUCACUGUCUCUGCCAGACAGUCUCUGUCACUGUCUCUGCCAGACAGUCUCUCUCACUGCCUCUGCCUCUGCCAGUCAGUCUCUGUCACUGUCUCUGCCAGACAGUCUCUCUCACUGCCUCUGCCUUCUACCUCUACCUGUCAGUCUCUGUCACUGUCUCUGCCAGACAGUCUCUCUCACUGCCUCUGCUUCUACCUCUGCCAGUCAGUCUCUGUCACUGUCUCUGCCAGACAGUCUCUCUCACUGCCUCUGCUUCUACCUCUGCCAGACAGUCUCUCUCACUGCCUCUGCUUCUACCUCUGCCAGUCAGUCUCUUGUCACUGCCUCUGCCUCUACCAGUCAGUCUCUCUCACUGCCUCUGCUUCUACCUCUGCUUCUAUCUCUGCCAGUCAGCCCCUGUCACUGCCUCUGCCAGUCAGACUCUGUCACUGCCUCGGCCUCUACCUCUGCCAGUCAGUCACUGCCUCGGCCUCUACCUCUGCCAGUCAGUCUCUGUUACUGCCUCUGCCAGUCAGUCACUGCCUCGGCCUUUACCUCUGCCAGUCAGUCUCUGUUACUGCCUCUGCCAGUCAGUCUCUGUUACUGGUUACUGCCUCUGCCAGUCAGUCUCUGUUACUGCCUCUGCCAGUCAGUCACUGUCUCGGCCUCUACCUCUGCCAGUCAGUCACUGGCCCUGUCUCUGCCUUUGCCUGCAUACACACAGCUAAAAUGAAUCAAUACAUUUCAUUCAAGAAGCCUCUGGGUUAGGCCUAAAUGUUCCUCCAAGCCACCAUGUCAUCGUCAUGAAAUGUUUAUUAACUUCAAUAACGUGACCAAGCAGAUUCUUUUUUGAUGACCCUCUCCACAUACACAAUGACAAGCUCUAUUGUAACAUCCUGCAAAACAACAUGUUCAAAUCAUUUGCUUGUGACUGCCCCAUUCAUUGAUGAGAAAAAACAAGAUGGAGGUCUAAUAUUUCAGGACGUCAACAGCCCAACAGAACUACUCACAACCAUUGUCCUUGAAUCAGUGACUAAACCAAUGGUCCUUAUUUUCAAAUCCAAUUUAUUUUAUAAAGCCCGUUUUACGUCAGCAGUUGCCACAAAGUGCUAUA